GCCGGAGCACGCAGUGCGUUUGUCUGCCCCUGGCUCUUGAACGGCAGCCUCUCUCUGCGCUGGGGCCGUCGCUGGUCGCCUCUCACCUGGGACAUUCGUUCUCCUCUCCUGCAGCCCCGGAAAGGGGGCUGUUUAGCCACGCAAACUUCUCGUCUUAGCCGCUCAGCUUCUUCUGGACCUGACACACGCGGCUGGAUUUCAUCACUCAUUAUUCCUGCCUCUUGCCAAGAGGCUGAAAGCAAUAGUACUUCCUUGAGAGAAGGGAGAUCUUUCCUUUGGCACCUUCCUCCCUGCUGGAUGAAUCACAGACAAGAAGCCAUGGACCGGGUUAACACUUAAGGAACAGCAAACAGGACAGAAGAAACCGAGCCCCUGACAGUUUAUUGGAACAGAAUUUGGGCCUCAACACCAAAGAGAUACAAACUUUUAAUUUGUAUGAGUCAUUUGGAGUUUGUACUACAUAGAAAGUCACACUAGGGGCUGGGGAUUUAGCUCAGUGGCAUAAGCACCUGCCUUGCAAGCAGAUGAUCGUGAGUUUUCUCGGUACCGGUAAAAAGAAAGAAAGAAAAAAUGAAAAAUAAAAAAAAGAAAGUCACACUAAUUUAACUGCCCUGUGAAUUGAGUCCAAGAAAGGGUCUGUGGUGGAAAAAAGCCAGGCCCCCUCAAGAGCACCUCCUCACCC
rnacentral:lncRNA from 1 species